GGAAUUUCCUGACAUUGAGAACACAGUGACCAAAAAAAGAAAAUCCAUCCAGAAGUCCAUGUCUGAAAAUGAAGCAUUUGAAAGGAAAAAUGUGAAUGGCACACUUUGGCAGGGUUCCAGGAAGCCAGAGAACGAUUCGUACAUCAGAAGGCACUGUCAGCUUGAAGAAGAUAAUACUGUUGGUGAAGGCAUGCAUUUGCUGCAAGGAAAGAAGACAGAGGAAACAGCAUGCCAGGUGAAAGAACUUUUCUUUUUUUCCAGCAUCUGAAAUUUUGU